UCGAUUUGGAGUUUGUUGCCUAGAGUGAUGGGCUCCGAAGCUAACGCGAUAAAUCGACCGCCUGGGGAGUACGGCCGCAAGGUUAAAACUCAAAUGAAUUGACGGGGGCCCGCACAAGCGGUGGAGCAUGUGGUUUAAUUCGAUGCAACGCGAAGAACCUUACCUGGUCUUGACAUCCACAGAAUCUUUCAGAGAUGAGGGAGUGCCUUCGGGAACUGUGAGACAGGUGCUGCAUGGCUGUCGUCAGCUCGUGUUGUGAAAUGUUGGGUUAAGUCCCGCAACGAGCGCAACCCUUAUCCUUUGUUGCCAGCGAUUAGGUCGGGAACUCAAAGGAGACUGCCGUUGAUAAAACGGAGGAAGGUGGGGACGACGUCAAGUCAUCAUGGCCCUUACGACCAGGGCUACACACGUGCUACAAUGGCGUAUACAAGGGGAGGCGACCUCGCGAGAGCAAGCGGACCUCAUAAAGUACGUCUAAGUCCGGAUUGGAGUCUGCAACUCGACUCCAUGAAGUCGGAAUCGCUAGUAAUCGUGAAUCAGAAUGUCACGGUGAAUACGUUCCCGGGCCU
rnacentral:rRNA from 1 species